AGAGUUUGAUCCUGGCUCAGAUUGAACGCUGGCGGCAGGCCUAACACAUGCAAGUCGAGCGGUAGAGAGAAGCUUGCUUCUCUUGAGAGCGGCGGACGGGUGAGUAAUGCCUAGGAAUCUGCCUGGUAGUGGGGGAUAACGUUCGGAAACGGACGCUAAUACCGCAUACGUCCUACGGGAGAAAGCAGGGGACCUUCGGGCCUUGCGCUAUCAGAUGAGCCUAGGUCGGAUUAGCUAGUUGGUGGGGUAAUGGCUCACCAAGGCGACGAUCCGUAACUGGUCUGAGAGGAUGAUCAGUCACACUGGAACUGAGACACGGUCCAGACUCCUACGGGAGGCAGCAGUGGGGAAUAUUGGACAAUGGGCGAAAGCCUGAUCCAGCCAUGCCGCGUGUGUGAAGAAGGUCUUCGGAUUGUAAAGCACUUUAAGUUGGGAGGAAGGGCAGUAAAUUAAUACUUUGCUGUUUUGACGUUACCGACAGAAUAAGCACCGGCUAACUCUGUGCCAGCAGCCGCGGUAAUACAGAGGGUGCAAGCGUUAAUCGGAAUUACUGGGCGUAAAGCGCGCGU
rnacentral:rRNA from 1 species